rnacentral:rRNA from 1 species
UACGAAGGGGGCUAGCGUUGUUCGGAAUCACUGGGCGUAAAGCGCACGUAGGCGGAUCUUUAAGUCAGGGGUGAAAUCCCGAGGCUCAACCUCGGAACUGCCUUUGAUACUGGGGAUCUCGAGUCCGGGAGAAGUGAGUGGAACUGCGAGUGUAGAGGUGAAAUUCGUAGAUAUUCGCAAGAACACCAGUGGCGAAGGCGGCUCACUGGCCCGGAACUGACGCUGAGGUGCGAAAGCGUGGGGAGCAAACAGG